UUUGCCAAAGCUCGAGACGUACAUCAGAUACACACCUCCAUGUUGUCUCAAAACGGAGGCUGAUACAUCGUAAACGAUGAGAAGCAAUUCGGCGACUCCUCCGUCGCUCCUUGGCUCCGCCCACCACCUUCGGAACGGCGCUUAUUGUUUUAUUUAUUUCUUUUGCUAUAUUAUACAAUUUAAUAUUUAUUACUAAAUGUAACUAAUUUUAAAUAGUUACAUGGAUAUUUAACAAAUCAAUAUAUUAGAAUUAUAUUAUUCAAAUAAUUUAUCAAAAUUAAGUUUUGUUUAUUUUUGUUGCGUCAGUCACAUCAAUUGGUUAACAUACAUACAUAAGAAAAACGAGUUUUUCUACAGUAAAUGAAGGUCAUUCCUACUGGCAUAUGUUGCUAAAAUAACAUUAAAUCAACGAAUAUAAAAUUCAUUCAUUCAUCCUUUUAAAUCUUCCUGACAGACAAGAAGGAAAUGAUACAAGUCCAGUGGUAAUACACAAAUAUUUUAUUAAGAUGUAAAAUAUUAUAGUUAACAAUGAAUAAUUUUCUUUCUGCAAACCUACAUAUCCAACUUUAGUUUCAUAAAAUUUUUAUAUUUUUAAAUAAUUUAGUUUCUUAAUGAAUUUUUGAGUGAAGUUUGGUAACCUGUUGUUUUUUGUUUUUUGGUUAUUUUUCGUAGCUUUGCUUAGCAGCUGUCUUUUAGCAAAGCCGGGGGUUUCUUGUAGCUCCGCCCAUCAAUUAAAUCAGCGGACUUGCAGUAACUAAGAGAGGCAUACUGAAGUAGUUUUCUUGAGGUGAGUGAAUCUAUGGCUGAAAGUAGCGAGUGGUAAAAGCUGUUACUUUUACAAGCCUAGCUGAAUCUUGUAGGUGCCAUUUUUCCACUUUGCUACCCACGGUGGUGUGCAAGUGGAAGAAUUUGAGAUUAAAGUUAAGUGAAGACGGCAAUCUUUUACAUCAAAUAUUUAGUGUGAGAACUGCUGAAAUCUCCGAUGUUAUUAGAGAGCUGCCAAAAUGUAUUACCAAAUUAACAAAUUAUUACUUUCAGGGUACCUCCUGCUACUCAUCGUUAUAUCACACAGUACCGUUAAUUC